rnacentral:rRNA from 1 species
CCUACGGGUGGCAGCAGUGAGGAAUAUUGGUCAAUGGACGAGAGUCUGAACCAGCCAAGUAGCGUGAAGGAUGACUGCCCUCUGGGUUGUAAACUUCUUUUAUAUGGGAAUAAAACAGGGUAUGCAUACCCUCUUGUAUGUACCAUAUGAAUAAGGAUCGGCUAAUUCCGUGCCAGCAGCCGCGGUAAUAUGGAGGAUCCGAGCGUUAUCCGGAUUUAUUUGGUUUAAAGGGCGCGUAGGUGGAUUGUUAAGUCAGUUGUGAAAGUUUGCGGCUCAACCGUAAAAUUGCAGUUGAAACUGGCAGUCGUGAGUACAGUAGAGGUGGGCGGAAUUCGUGGUGUAGCGGUGAAAUGCUUAGAUAUCACGAAGAACUCCGAUUGCGAAGGCAGCUCACUGGACUGCAACUGACACUGAUGCUCGAAAGUGUGGGUAUCAAACAGGAUUAGAUACCCCUGUAGUC